CACUGGUCGAGAGCUAGCGCCACUCUCCUGAUGAGUCAAAGGCAUAACGAAAUCAGUG
rnacentral:sRNA from 1 species